rnacentral:rRNA from 1 species
GAUGAACGCUGGCGGCGUGCUUAAUACAUGCAAGUCGAACGGAGGUAUGUAGCAAUACGUAUCUUAGUGGCGAACGGGUGAGUAACGCGUUGGUGACCUACCCCAGAGAGGGGGAUAACAGUCCGAAAGGAUUGCUAAUACCGCAUGUGGUCCCCGGGUUUAGAAACCGGUGACUAAAGCAGCAAUGCGCUUUGGGAGGGACCUGCGUCCCAUCAGCUAGUUGGUGAGGUAACGGCUCACCAAGGCGUCGACGGGUAAGGGACCUGAGAGGGUGGUCCCUCACAAUGGCACUGAAACACGGGCCAUACACCUACGGGUGGCUG